CGACUGACAGGGCCUCGAGAGGAGGUCGGCACUGACAAGCUCUGAGGUAUGAAACAUGAAGUUUGUUGCUGUUGUUUGGUGAAAAGCUUAUCAAUCUGGGGUCUGUCUGCUAGAAAACGACUACAAAACUGGACAGAGAAAAGACAAGGUUACAGCCACAAAGGCUGUGCGGUUUGUGCACCUCGCUCCCAAUGACUAAUGCACGAGCGGCCGCCCACAGAGAAUCGGCGUAGAUGAGAGCGCCGCUCCACUUUAACAGCAUGUCACGUGUUUGAAGAGUGUUGUGCUGUGGCUCAAAUGCAGAAGAGUCCGUGUGUACCGGUGCCGGUCGGCCUCUGGAGGAGGGUGAUGAUGGUACACACAACAUGAUGGUAAUAACAGCACGCUCCACAACCGCAGCCAGCCCGUGUUUGCCCAAAGGGACUGGACGUAAGCACUAUCCAAAUGUCAGGGUCACAUGCUCGGGAUGGACCGAGAUUGAGCUGGCAGCAAGCCUGGGGAGAGAGAAAAAGAGAGAGAGUGGAUCAACAGAGGUGGUUACUGGAGGGAUCAGCUGGUAGAAAUAUGAUCAUUUUAUUUGUUAUGUUCAAAGCCUGCUUAAUUCAACUGUCAAGGAAGUAUGAUGUUUACAUUCAAGACACAGUUCACCCAAGUAUGAAAAUGUAUUCGCCCACUAUUCACAAAGACGCAUUAUACAUGUGAAUGCAUGUUAUGUAGUGGAAGUGUAAACUAAAGCUCAGCUUUGAGAAUUAUUAAAGGAGGACUUUCAGAAAAUAACACAUUCAACAAAUCUUAUUUAGUGAAGGGCUAUAAAAUAUUUCGACAAGACUGGAUCAAUAGAUAUUAAUAACAGAUUGUAGUGUUCAUUAACUUUAUUUUAGUUUUAGAUUUAUUUUCUAUGCGCUUCAUUUUUAUAUAUCGGCAUGAUAUUGCUCUUUUUUAUUUCCUCUAAAUAAUUUCUAUAAGUUUAGUGAUUUAUUCAUUUAAUCUAAUGUGAUAUUGUGAUAUUUUAUACACUACCAGUCAAAGGGUAAAACAUUUUUAAACUUUUGCUUAAAUGACUGAAAUGUAAUAUCAUUUUCCUGAUAUUCAUGUUUUUUUUUCACGACAAAAAUUAUAUUUUAUUUAAUAAAAAAUGUUUUAGAUAUGGAUAACUUUGACCGAAUGAUGAAGACAGUGCAGCCAAUAAUAACACAAAAAAGAGGGGAACUCUUUAUGUAAAAAAACAUCUCAGGGCGAAACCUCAAGAAGGUGCUUGAGAAAAUGACAAGAAAACAUUUCUGCAAAUUCUAGUCAAAAGGUGAUCAAAUAUAAUGUGUUUUAAUAUUUUUGUUACAACAUAAUUCCCAUAGUUCCCUAUGUUUUAAUUCACAAAUAAAACAUUAUUUUUCAUCAAGUUCAUUAUUAUUCUAGAAUAUGAACACAUAAGUGAGUAAGUGUCCAAAAACGUUUGACCGGUGGUGUAUAUAUUACACAUGAAUGUAUUGUUACUCAAAAAUUUCACUUGAAGGAACAGUUCCCCAAAAAUUCUGUCUUCAUUUACUCACCCUCAAGUUCCAAAUCUGUAUCCAUUUCUUUUUUCUGUUAAACACAAUGAAAGAUAUUUGGAAGAAUGUUUAUAACCAAACAGUUCUCAGCCACCACAGACUACCAGCAGAAAAAAUGCUUUAUCUAUUUCUUUGUUUGGUUGAACAAAAAUACAUUUUGAAGAAUGUAGGAAAGCAAACUUUUGACUACCAUUGUCAUUUUUCCUUCUAUGACAGUCAAUGGUGGCCAAGAACAAUAUAACGGGUUUCAUAUUGUUUUGGUAACAAUAUAAAAUGCAUUUGGAGUGGAGUAAAAAGAUUCUUUAGACGUAACAUUUUUCCAAAGUUAAAACAUGCUUAGAAAGUACAGAGACUUCAAAAAAGUACUUUAAAAAGAAUCUUCUGGGUUUGCUAAAUAGUCCGUUUAGAUUCUCUAGGAGUCUCUGCUU